UGGCACCAUGCCUGCCUGGCAAGCGCGAGGUCCUGAGUUCAAUUCCCAGUACCAAAAAAAGAGAGAAACAAGUAAUAGAACCAAAGGCGGCAUUCAGGAUGUGAAGGCAAAAACACUUUUAGCUGAGUUCAAAUGAUCCAACCUCUUUGGGCUUCAGUUUCCUCGUUCAUAAAUGAUUAGACUAGUGAUUUCUGAGGUUCUGAACUUCUGGCCAAUUCCCUCCUCCACUGGCAAAAUUAUAUGUAUACAUACAGCUUCCGUCCCCUACCCCUGAAAUAGGGAUUGAACCUGGGGCCUUCACAUUGAGCUACAUCCCCAGCCUUUUUUUUUUUUUAAAUUUUGAGACAGGGUCUCUGUAAGUCACCACGUUGUCCAUCUGGCCUCAGACUUGCAAUCCUUCUGCCUCAGCUCCUGAGUAGCUAGGACUACAGGAAAAGCUGCAAUCAAGUUCAUUAGGUCAUCUGAGAACAGGUCUGAGAGAAGGCCUGAAGAUCUAGCAUUCACAAGGCCCUAGGGGUUACCAUCCCCAAUAGGGCAAAAAAGAAAGAAAGAGCUGUGAGAAGACAGAAUGCACAGGAAGGAAGUGGAUGCUUUGGGGACAGCCAGCCAGAUACUCCCAGAGCCAACGCCUUCCAGGAAAGAAAACCAGAGCCACACAGGGUUUAACUGCUAAACAUAAAACUUUAUUACAUUA